rnacentral:lncRNA from 1 species
AUCCCCAGCAACGUCUACCUAAAGAAGGAAAGGCCAGUUUGCAUUUCAAUCGAAGGUCAUGGAGAUCAUUACGAAAAGGUGUCAUACAGUGGAGAAGAGGUUGGGUGAGAACGGUACGUUUUGCAUCAUUAUCAAGAAGGUAAAAAAAGCCGCAAGGCUUGAGAGGAGGGGUGAGAAAAAUUUUUAUAAAAGGCGGGAGAAAGUCGAUAGGUAUCAGUCGAGUGAGUGUCUCCGACACGGCAACAGCUGCAGUAUUCGUCGUAAUAUCAGUUCGCAAUUAUGGUUAAUUAUGGCGUUGUGUUGCUGUUGGGUGUUGUAUCGUUGAUGUUGACCACGAGAGAAAAUCUUUUAAAAGGAAAGAAAAAGGGCAACGGAAGUCAAUCGAGUAAGCAUCUCCGAACGGCAGCAGCUGCAUUCUUCGUCGUAUUAUCAGGUCACAAUCACGGGUUCCUGAUUUGUUUGAUGAUCGUGUGUCAUCAAAUUUGACUAGAGUUCUGAAUUCUUAGUGAUGGACUGUUUGCAGAAUAAAAUAGAAUUUGACUGAUGAUACAUAUAUUUGGCCAGGAUUCAGACGCUGGCCAGGAUGGCGAUGUUGGUGGAUGAGACGCGUCGCAACCAUCUCUAAUUCACCAAAGUCAAUCUGCAGACGGGUUGGUGAACGCUUGAAGGUCACGGGAUUAGGUAAAACUGUCGUCUGUCGUGCAGUGGUGUGCAGUGCAGUGCAGAGGUUGGGUGAGAACCAUGCAGUGGUGUAGAGGUUGGGUGAGAAAGUCUGUGCAGUGGUGUAGAGGUUGGGUGAGAACCGUGCAGUGGUGUAGAGGUUGGGUGAGAACGACACGUGUUGCUUCAUUUCCAAGCAGGUACAAUUGCCGCAAGGCUUAGGAGGUGAGUCAGGGUAAGAAAAAGUAGUAUAAAAGGAGAGAGAAAAGUCAGUUUGAGAUCAGUCGAGUGAACAUCUCCGACACGGCAACUACUGCUGCGCACCAUUGGUAACCAACCUCCUUCUUCAUCGUUUAACCAGUUCGCAAUCACGGUUAACUAUGGCGUCGUGCUGCUGUUGGGUGUUGUAUCGUUGAUGGCUGGGUCGACCACUGGUGUACCGAUGUCUCCUGGGUCCGCAAUGCUGCUGCCUCCCACACAACAACAACAUACGCAACCACCGGAUACUACACCACCAAGGCUCCAGAGUCCUACCACAACUUAGGAUGCCCCGAGCUACUACACCGAAGCUCUGAAGUAUAACUCUACCCCGAGCCACACCAACAAAGAUCCGGCGUACAACACCAAGGCUCCCAAGUACUACACCACUAAGGCACAGGAAUACUACACGAUUACGUAUGCUGCCCCUGCCUACUACACCGAGGCCCCUAAUUACUACAACACUGAAGCACCCAAGUACUACACUACAACCUACACUGCCCUAAGCUACUACAUUAACGCCCCGAAGGAUUACUCUGCGUAAAAGGAGUCGUUAAAAAAGAAGAUGUAAAAAGGAGUGAGAAAAGCAGGUGCAAUUGCCGCAAGGCUCGAGUUGAAAGGUGAAUCAGGAGAAGGAAAAAUCCGAUUGAACGAGAGAAAGGGCGAUGGAAAACAGUCGAAUGAGCAUAACAACUGGAUUGUUCAUCGUUAAACCAGUUCAUAAUUAUGGUUAACUGUUGCUUCGUUGUGUUGUUGAUCGUUGUAUGGCUGGGUCGACCACUGUGGUCGGUGUACCGAUGUCUCCUGGUUAUAGCUGAUAGCCUGAUACCAAACCGCAAUGCCGCCGCCUAACUACACAACAACUUUAACGACCAGUUACAACACCGAGGCCUAGACCGAGACCCACAAAUACUACACCACCAAGUCACCGAAGUAGGAUACGAUAACUUGCGCUUCGCCGAGCUAAUACACCGAUCCCCCGAAUUAUUACUUUGCCUCCAGUUGCACCACCAAGUCAGCGAAGUACUACACGACUACGUAUCCUGCUUAUCUUACUACACCGAGGCUCCAGCUACUACACCGAGGCUCCAGCUACUACACCGAGACUCCAGCUACUACACCGAGACUCCAGCUACUACACCGAGGCUCCAGCUACUACACCGAGGCUCCAGCUACUACACCGAGGCUCCAGCUACUACACCGAGGCUCCAGCUACACAACCACGACUGAUGCGGUCAAGGUUUACGUAGCCCCAACUUUCUACUCAACUACUGCCCCUUCGUAUUACGUUGAACCGAAAUACUGCACUGAAGCUUCAGGUUACUACACCGAAAAUCUGAAGUAUUACUCUGCUCAUAGUAACUACACCACUAAGGCACCUGAAUAGUACACUAAGACAUACGCUUCUCCAGAUUUCUAGAAGGAUUCUAAAUGCCAGAGCUGAUAUGAUGGAAAAUCUGUACACAUACAUAUACACAAUAUCAUAAUAGUUACUAGUCACUAGGAAUUGUUCUUUGAUGAGAAAAUAAAGUUUUUAAUCUGAGUAA